CUAUACAAUCUAUUGCCUUCCC
rnacentral:miRNA from 13 species